rnacentral:rRNA from 1 species
ACGGAAGGCAGCAGUGAGGAAUAUUGGUCAAUGGGCGGAAGCCUGAACCAGCCAAGUCGCGUGAAGGAUGAAGGUAUUAUGUAUUGUAAACUUCUUUAGCAGCAGAGUAAUAAGGGGGUCGUGACCCCCGAUGCAAGUAUGCUGAAAAUAAGGAUCGGCUAACUCCGUGCCAGCAGCCGCGGUAAUACGGAGGAUCCGAGCGUUAUCCGGAUUUAUUGGGUUUAAAGGGUGCGCAGGCGGCUUUUUAAGUCAGUGGUUAAAUCGUGGAGCUUAACUCCAUCCCGCCAUUGAUACUGGAGAGCUUGAUUGCGGUUGAGGUUGGCGGAAUUCGCCGUGUAGCGGUGAAAUGCAUAGAUAUGGCGAAGAACUCCGAUUGCGUAGGCAGCUGACCAAGCCGUAAAUGACGCUCAUGCACGAAAGUGCGGGGAUCGAACAGGAUUAGAUACCCUGGUA